rnacentral:lncRNA from 1 species
GGGGCCGUUGCCUGGCUGCGGGAUGGGGUGAGUGCCGGCGGCAGGUGCCGCGCUCCGCGGGGCGCGGAGCCCAAAUUAGCAGCCGGGAUAUAAAUAACCCCCGCCUCCGCCUUCCCCCUGUGCGCGCGCAGCUGCCCGCCGCUUCACACCCUCUUCCUCCUCCUCCUCACAGGCCGCGGGGGUACCGCGGCUACCAGCGCACCCAACCCCGCUGCCCCGUACCGCGGUGCCCCCGGCGCCGCCUUCUCGCCUCGCCGCGGGGCUCAGGGAUGGGGGGGCCGGUUGAGACCGCAGCGCGCGGCGGCUCGUCGCUUGCCGUUAACACCGGGCCGUGCGGCGCUGGUGGGCGCGGGGCCGCGGGCCUGGGCCCGGGCCCGGCUGCUCGCCUCACGGGGCCCGGCGUUUCCGGGAGGCUGUGCGAGGCGGUGCGGUAGCAAGCCGUCCGCGCUGGUUCCUCGUGUGCAGCGCAGUGGCUGCGGCCGAGGUUGUUAAGCGCUCGCAGGUAGCGGUGGAGGUGCUGCCGAGGGGACUGUGCUUGCUCUUGGCUGCCUGGUUGGUUUCUGGAGCGUUUGGUGCCCAGAGAGGUUGAGGGAGAGGUGAGAGCCGUGCCUGUGGUUACUGUGCCCUAGGGAGAGGGCUGUGAGAGACCCAGAGACGCGUACGUGGAGUCAUGGUGAGGAAGGCUCUCCUUACGUGGUUAAUUCUCAUAAUUAGGAAAUGUGUUUUAAGUACAAAGUAGAAAAGUGACCGUCGUUCUGGUGUAUUUUGAGAACUGCUCUUCUAUGUCACAGAAUGUUAAUUCUUGCAAAGAAAGUUAACGCAAAGCACUCUUUUAAGAAACCUACAUAAAUAAUUCCCAUCCAGUUCUACAAAUAUCAUCUCCCAUCCCUUUGCGUUUCAAAGUAUCCUGUGAUAAAUUAACAUGGGACCUAAACCUAUCAGUGGAAGAGAAAAGGUGGUAAAUCCAAACCAGAUACUCCAAAUUUACUGUCUUCUAAUUUAAUAAUAGUAUGAUCUUUUUUGGCCUAAUUUUCCUAUUGGAAAAUACCGAUUAUUAUGCUACUUAACGUUAGCAUUCGAAAGUGGCCUUAGCUUGAAAGUAGCAAUUGUUUUCUGUUUCCUGAGAAAUACGGUUUAAUUUCUGUAUUAGACAUAACAUUGUUAGAGUUAGUAGGGAGUACCUGAAUCUCCUAUGUAAUAAUGUCAGCCCAGUUAGGAUGAUGAAAGGAGGACAGUGAAAUGCCUUAAAUCCUCAUAAUGCACAAAGUACUUGCACUAAAAUAGAGAAUAUUCCUUCCUUGUAAUGCUUAUAGUAGGAAAUCAGGGGGUUUUCAAGGGGUUGUUGUGUAAGAGCAGUGCUUUGGAGCAGGUUGGAUUGGGGGGGCAGCAGGAUGGGUAAUGUCCUGGUUAAUGCAUUAUGGCUCUGAACUGUUACAACGCUGCAAGGUUCAUAUGGCCAGAACUUUGUUUCUGAAAAAAUAGAUUUCUGAGUCUUAAAAAUCAAAACCUCUUACCCUGUAGAAAGGGAGAAUGCUCAAUCGUGAACAAGGAAGGAUAUAUUGAAAUAUUCACGCUUAGGUGGUUUUUCUUCCUACCAAUGUGUUUAAAUCAUGCAUCUAGUAUGUCUUAGGCAUUUUUGCUAAUAAAUAAUUAAAUCCACUUCUGCAGCAAUUGCAGUAAUGUUACAUCAUGUAAGAAUAUGGUGCUAUUAAUUCACUGUAAGAAAAAAAAAUCACUACUUCCAUAUUGUUUCCUAAGAAAUAUGUUUGUUUUACGUAGCAGGCUUUUUUUGCCUUAUGCUCCCACCAGUGUAGGUAAUAUGUGUUUAUCCCAUACACAAGAAUAUGGACAGAAAAAGGCUUUUGCUGUUUUUCAGUAUGCACAAAUAUUACUGGCUUUGGUGUUGUUACACAAAUGCGGCCUCAUAGAUGAACUGCAGUGGGUAAAACAACUUUAUGUAUGAAAAGAUUACAGUAAAACACUAAUGCGCACAGCCUAAAAUAAAUGUUAAGUAUUUUAUGCUGCAGUACAAUGAUAACUUUUUAUUACAUUUGGGCACUUAGAAAGCUUUAGAAAGUAUUUUGUACCCUCAGCAAGUUUGCCGACGACACCAAGUUGUGUGGUUCGGUUGAUAUGCUGGAGGGAAGGGAUGCCAUCCAGAGGGACCUUGACAUGCUUGUGAGGUGGGCCGAUGCUAACCUUAUGAAGUUUAACCAAGCCAAGUGUAAGGUCCUACACCUGGGUCGGGGCAAUCCCAGGCACUGCUACAGGUUGGGCGGGGAAGAGAUUCAGAGCAGCCCUGCAGAGAAGGACUUGGAGGUGUUGGUUGACGAGAAGCUUAACAUGAGCCUGCUUCAGUGUGUGCUUGCAGCCCAGAAAGCCAACCGUAUCCUGGGCUGCAUCAAAAGCAGUGUGACCAGCAGGUCAAACAAGGUGAUCCUGCCCCUCUACUCUGCUCUCGUGAGACCCCACUUGGAGUACUGUGUACAGUUCUGGUGUCCUCAACAUAAAAAGGACAUGGAGCUGUUGGAGCGAGUCCAGAGGAGGGCCACGAGGAUGAUAAGAGGGCUGGAGCACCUCCCGUAUGAAGACAGGCUGAGAGAGUUGGGGCUGUUCAGCCUGGAGAAGAGAAGGCUGCGUGGAGACCUCAUAGCAGCCUUCCAGUAUCUGAAGGGGGUCUACAAGGAUGCUGGGGAGGGACUCUUCCUUAGGGACUGUAGUGGUAGGACAAGGGGUAAUGGGUUCAAACUUAAACAGGCGAAGUUUAGACUAGAUAUAAGGAGCAAGUUCUUUACAGUGAGGGUGGUGAAGCACUGGAAUGGGUUGCCCAGGGAGGUUGUGGAUGCUCCAUCCCUGGAGGUGUUCAAGGCCAGGUUGGACAGAGCCUUGAGCCACAUGGUUUAGGGCAAGGUGUCCCUGCCCAUGGCAGGGGGGUUGGAACUAGAUGAUCUUAAGGUCCUUUCCAACCCUUACGAUUCUAUGAUUCUAUGAUUGGUUUUUUUUUCCUAGAAGUGAUUGGAUUUGUAAAUUAAUGAGGCCCAAACACACUUGUGAAUAGGAGCUUUUGGGAGAGACCGGAAUCUUUUCACCUUGCUAAUGUGCACAAAUAACCCCAGAUACAAGAUGGUGAAGUGUACUGAAAAAUUAAAAAGGGAGCAGUAAAAUUCUGCCAACUAUCUCAUCUUGAUGUUCCAAAAUUACGUUCCACACUUACAGUUUGAGGUUUUGGUAUGAUUGAUACUGAUGUAUAUAUAUCUUUUUGUGGUAAUACAAAUACUGACAAUAUUCUUUCUGUCUUUGCUGGCAGCAACACUUGAGGCUGUUUAGUGUGCUUUGUUAUAAGCCAUAGAGAACAGAGGAUUUACAACUUCCCGAACAGUAACCACCUCAAUAAAAUGCAAGCGUUCUAGCUCAGGUCUGGACUCAUGUGGGUAUGCUGCAACAAGCAGUUUAGCUAUUUGAGGCUAUUAGAUAAAAGUAAGGUUACAAUUUUUUCCUGCCUCUCCCUCUCCCCCCUCACUCCCUACUUUAGCUCCUCUCUGGUUUGAAGGUAGAUAGUAGUCAUUUUACUAAAACCUUCUGCCGUUGCUUGGACUGUACAGGGUCAUUUGUUUUCCAGAAGCUGCAGGCUGCACUUGCUAACUUGGAGCUAGUGCUGUGAAACUUCAAAGCAUAAGCUCUGUUA